rnacentral:rRNA from 1 species
CAAUAGCGUAUAUUUAAGUUGCUGCAGUUAAAAAGCUCGUAGUUGGAUUUCGGGUGGGAAUGGCCGGUCCGCCGUUUCGGUGUGCACUUGCUACGCCCACCUUGCUGCCGGGGACGUGCUCUUGAGUUCACGCUCGGGACACGGAGUCGGCGAGGUUACUUUGAGUAAAUUAGAGUGUUCAAAGCAGGCCUACGCUCUGAAUACAUUAGCAUGGGAUAACACGACAGGACUCUGGCCUAUCGUGUUGGUCUGUAGGACCAGAGUAAUGAUUAAGAGGGACAGUCGGGGGCAUUCGUAUUCCGUUGUCAGAGGUGAAAUUCUUGGAUUUACGGAAGACGAACAUCUGCGAAAGCAUUUGCCAAGGAUGUUUUCAUUGA